UGGGCUGUAGCUCAGUGGUAGAGCAACCUGCUUUGUGUGCAGAAGGUCCCAGGUUCAAUCCCUGGCAUCUCAA